CAUGGACUUCCUCCAACUAACGAGGCAGGCCUGAAGGCCAUUAAGCUAGAGUGCUUGCUUUUAAAGAAAGAGUAGGCUACCACAAGCCAGAGCUAGGGGAAAGCUAGGGCUAGCAAAGGACAGGCAGGAUCUGUUUGAUCGCCUGGAAGCACGUUACGGCCUAAGAGGAAGAUAUAGGUGGAAUGUAGUGAACUGAUUAGGAAUACGGAUGUUACCUUAGCAGAGGUGGAUGACCCUUUUCCCACCCUGCUGGUUUUGAUUUACUAGCCGGUCCUGCUGCUCCAGACUGUGGGCAGUGCUGGAUGCUGCUGGUCAUCCUGAAUCCAUCCUCUGCUCUUCUCCUCUCCCUCCUCUCAACCUCGGUCGUCUACCUCCACUGCAGAAAUAAAGCCACCAAAGACCCCAGAGUUUAUCUGACAACACCUGACUCAGGAAGUAGAACUCAGGACAUCAGGUUCCAGAACCGCUUCACCCAGUUCCUAGUUUUCCUUAACUUCCUAGUUGUGUUUUUUAACUUCAUACAUGCGAGAACCAUCCACGUUGAAAAGCUAUAGCUGUACUGACACUGUUGUAAUCAGACGUUGUCUCAUCAUAACACCAUCCAAAGAAUGGCAGCAAAUAUUAGUCAGUUUUAUUCUUACAAUAAUGGAUUUAAUAUAGGAGAUAUAUGACCUCAACUUCUUUUAUGACUGACUCAAAUCAAGUAUGAAAGUUUAAAAUAAACUGCCAUGCAACAUCUUUGGAUUUUAUUGAUUUGUUUAUACAUUUAAUGAAAACAUAU
ensembl:lncRNA